AACCCAUGGUGAGGGCACCUUCGCAAUAGAUCCUUCUAUCUCUCCUAUGUGUUAUAAAGUGUUUCUAAAUCCAUCUGCACAAAAGAAGAGAUAUCAUUACGUAAUUU